rnacentral:rRNA from 1 species
AGCGAACGCUGGCGGCAGGCCUAACACAUGCAAGACGAACGGGGAAAGCUUUCGGGUGAGUACUAGUGGCGCACGGGUGAGUAACGCGUGGAUAAUCUGCCUUAGAGUGGGGGAUAACUAGUCGAAAGAUUAGCUAAUACCGCAUAAGACCACAAGAACUGCGGUUCAAGAGGUCAAAGGUUUUUCGCUCUAAGAUGAGUCCGCGUAAGAUUAGCUAGUUGGUGAGGUAACGGCUCACCAAGGCAACGAUCUUUAACUGGUCUGAGAGGAUGAUCAGUCACACUGGAACUGAGACACGGUCCAGACUCCUACGGGAGGCAGCAGUAGGGAAUAUUGCACAAUGGAGGAAACUCUGAUGCAGCGACGCCGCGUGAGUGAUGAAGGCCUUCGGGUCGUAAAGCUCUGUCGCAGGGGAAUAACACAAUGAAUGUACCCUGUAAGAAAGGAUCGGCUAACUUCGUGCCAGCAGCCGCAGUAAUAC